GUCCCUGUAGCGCAAUGGAGAGCGAGUUGGACUUUUAAUCCAAAGCUCGAACCCAACCUGGGACG